UACGUAGGGUGCAAGCGUUGUCCGGAAUUAUUGGGCGUAAAGAGCUUGUAGGCGGUUUGUCGCGUCUGCUGUGAAAUUUCGGGGCUCAACCCCGAACUUGCAGUGGGUACGGGCAGACUAGAGUGUGGUAGGGGAGACUGGAAUUCCUGGUGUAGCGGUGAAAUGCGCAGAUAUCAGGAGGAACACCGAUGGCGAAGGCAGGUCCCUGGGCCAUAACUGACGCUGAGAAGCGAAAGCAUGGGGAGCGAACAGG
rnacentral:rRNA from 1 species